GAGCUGUGGUGUGGUGUGGUGAGGUGUGGUGAGGUGCUGUGUGGUGUGGUGAGGUGUGGUAAGGUAAGGUGAGGUGUGAUGUGGUGAGGUGAGGUGUGAUGUGGUGAGGUGAGAUGAGUUGAGGUGUGGUGUGGUGAGGUGAGGUAUGAUGAGGUGAGAUGAGGUGAAAGGUGUGGUGAGGUGUGUUGAGAUGAGUUGAGGUGUGGUGUGGUAAAGUGAGGUGUGGUAAGGUGUGGUAGGGUAAGAUGAGCUGUG
ensembl:lncRNA